rnacentral:rRNA from 1 species
UACGUAGGGACCGAGCGUUGUCCGGAUUCAUUGGGCGUAAAGAGCUCGUAGGCGGCCACUCAAGUCGAAUGUGAAACCUCGAGGCUUAACCUCGAGCCUGCAUUCGAUACUGGGCGGCUAGAGUCUGGUAGGGGGAUCUGGAAUUCCUGGUGUAGCGGUGGAAUGCGCAGAUAUCAGGAAGAACACCGGUGGCGAAGGCGGCUCUCUGGGCCUUACCUGACGCUGAGGAGCGAAAGCGUGGGGAGCAAACAGG